rnacentral:rRNA from 1 species
AUUGAACGCUGGCGGCAGGCUAACACAUGCAAGUCGAGCGGAUGAAGGGAGCUUGCUCCUGGAUUCAGCGGCGGACGGGUGAGUAAUGCCUAGGAAUCUGCCUGGUAGUGGGGGAUAACGUCCGGAAACGGGCGCUAAUACCGCAUACGUCCUGAGGGAGAAAGUGGGGGAUCUUCGGACCUCACGCUAUCAGAUGAGCCUAGGUCGGAUUAGCUGGUUGGUGGGGUAAAGGCCUACCAAGGCGACGAUCCGUAACUGGUCUGAGAGGAUGAUCAGUCACACUGGAACUGAGACACGGUCCAGACUCCUACGGGAGGCAGCAGUGGGGAAUAUUGGACAAUGGGCGAAAGCCUGAUCCAGCCAUGCCGCGUGUGUGAAGAAGGUCUUCGGAUUGUAAAGCACUUUAAGUUGGGAGGAAGGGCAGUAAGUUAAUACCUUGCUGUUUUGACGUUACCAGCAGAAUAAGCACCGGCUAACUUCGUGCCAGCAGCCGCGGUAAUACGAAGGGUGCAAGCGUUAAUCGGAAUUACUGGGCGUAAAGCGCGCGUAGGUGGUUCAGCAAGUUGGAUGUGAAAUCCCCGGGCUCAACCUGGGAACUGCAUCCAAAACUACUGAGCUAGAGUACGGUAGAGGGUGGUGGAAUUUCCUGUGUAGCGGUGAAAUGCGUAGAUAUAGGAAGGAACACCAGUGGCGAAGGCGACCACCUGGACUGAUACUGACACUGAGGUGCGAAAGCGUGGGGAGCAAACAGG